CGUGUAGGCGGCCUCUUAAGUCUGAUGUGAAAGCCCGGGGGCUUUACCCCCGGAAGGGCAUUGGAAACUGGGAGGGCUAGAGUACCGGAGAGGAAGGUGGAAUUCCUGGUGUAGCGGUGAAAUGCGUAGAUAUCAGGAGGAACACCGGUGGCGAAGGCGGCCUUCUGGACGGAUACUGACGCUGAGACGCGAAAGCGUGGGGAGCAAACAGGAUUAGAUACCCUGGUAGUCCACGCCGUAAACGAUGGGCACUAGGUGUUCGGGGUAUUGACCCCCUGAGUGCCGCAGCUAACGCAUUAAGUGCCCCGCCCUGGGGACUACGGCCGCAAGGUUAAA
rnacentral:rRNA from 1 species